rnacentral:lncRNA from 1 species
AUGGGGCGGAGGUGUCUCCGUCUCUGUACUGUGAGGUGGAUGGGGCGGAGGUGUCUCCGUCUCUGUACUGUGAGGUGGAUGGGGCGGAGGUGUCUCUGUACUGUGAGGUGGAUGGGGCGGAGGCGUCUCGGUCUCUGUACUGUGAGGUGGAUGGGGCGGAGGUGUCUCUGUACUGUGAGGUGGAUGGGGCGGAGGUGUCUCGGUCUCUGUACUGUGAGGUGGAUGGGGCGGAGGCGUCUCGGUCUCUGUACUGUGAGGUGGAUGGGGCUGAGGCGUCUCGGUCUCUGUACUGUGAGGUGGAUGGGGCGGAGGCGUCUCGGUCUCUGUACUGUGAAGUGGAUGGGGCGGAGGUGUCUCUGUACUGUGAAGUGGAUGGGGCGGAGGUGUCUCUGUACUGUGAGGUGGAUGGGGCGGAGGUUUCUCUGUACUGUGAGGUGGGUGGAAGGGGUGCAGUCCGAUGACCGUCAACCUCUUUUAGCUCUAUGAUUGGUCCAUCGCCUUCAGAGGCCACACCCCACAGUGCUGCUGGACGAAUCACACGUCGCCGGGCAGGAUUCAGGGACUGGAGAGAGAGAGGAGGGGAGAGAGAAAGAGAGGAGGGGAGAGAGAGAAAGAGAGGAGGGGAGAGAGAAAGAGAGGAGGGGAGAGAGAGAAAGAGAGGAGGGGAGAGAGAGAAAGAGAGGAGGGGAGAGAGAAAAGGGGAGGGAGAAUGGGAGGAGGGGAGAGAGAAAGAGAGGAGAGGGAGGGGAGAGAUAGAGAAAGAGGGAGGGAGGAGAACGAGAAAAAGAGCGAAAGGAGGGGAGAGAGAAAGAGGGGAGGAGAGCGAGAAAAAGAGAGAGAGAGGAGGGGGGCGAGAGGAGGGGAGCGAGAGAAAGAGAGAGAGAGAGAGGACAGGUGGUUAGGACAGACACACAGUGUUAAGAGACAAGACACGGGUCACCUAGUCAGCUCCAAACCUAUCCCAAGUCAGGGGUUAGAGGUCAAGGUUGGGAUGCUAACCAUUAACCGGUCAGGCUCUGAAAAUGCAUUUGACUGGUCAUGUUCAUUUGCAUAAUUUUGGUGCCAUGUGUAUUUUUAGUUAGUAGACACGAACAGAAAAAUGUCUUCCAGCUUCAUAUUGAUUAACAAGAGGAGGAGCCUCCCAGCUUCAUAUUGAUUAACAAGAGGAGACUCCCAGCUUCAUAUUGAUUAACAAGAGGAGGAGCCUCCCAGCUUCAUAUUGAUUAACAAGAGGAGCCUCCCAGCUUCAUAUUGAUUAACAAGAGGAGGAGGAGCCUCCCAGCUUCAUAUUGAUUAACAAGAGGAGCCUCCCAGCUUCAUAUUGAUUAACAAGAGGAGCCUCCCAGCUUCAUAUUGAUUAACAAGAGGAGGAGCCUCCCAGCUUCAUAUUGAUUAACAAGAGGAGGAGACUCCCAGCUUCCUAUUGAUUAACAAGAGGAGACUCCCAGCUUCAUAUUGAUUAACAAGAGGAGACUCCCAGCUUCAUAUUGAUUAACAAGAGGAGCCUCCCAGCUUCAUAUUGAUUAACAAGAGGAGGAGGAGCCUCCCAGCUUCAUAUUGAUUAACAAGAGGAGACUCCCAGCUUCAUAUUGAUUAACAAGAGGAGGAGGAGACUCCCAGCUUCAUAUUGAUUAACAAGAGGAGACUCCCAGCUUCAUAUUGAUUAACAAGAGGAGCCUCCCAGCUUCAUAUUGAUUAACAAGAGGAGGAGGAGCCUCCCAGCUUCAUAUUGAUUAACAAGAGGAGACUCCCAGCUUCAUAUUGAUUAACAAGAGGAGCCUCCCAGCUUCAUAUUGAUUAACAAGAGGAGGAGGAGCCUCCCAGCUUCAUAUUGAUUAACAAGAGGAGCCUCCCAGCUUCAUAUUGAUUAACAAGAGGAGGAGGAGACUCCCAGCUUCAUAUUGAUUAACAAGAGGAGCCUCCCAGCUUCAUAUUGAUUAACAAGAGGAGGAGGAGACUCCCAGCUUCAUAUUGAUUAACAAGAGGAGCCUCCUAGCUUCAUAUUGAUUAACAAGAGGAGGAGACUCCCAGCUUCCUAUUGAUUAACAAGAGGAGGAGACUCCCAGCUUCCUAUUGAUUAACAAGAGGAGGAGACUCCCAGCUUCCUAUUGAUUAACAAGGAGGAGGAGGAGACUCCCAGCUUCAUAUUGAUUAACAAGAGGAGGAGACUCCCAGCUUCAUAUUGAUUAACAAGAGGAGGAGCCUCCCUGCUUCAUAUUGAUUAACAAGAGGAGGAGCCUCCCAGCUUCAUAUUGAUUAACAAGAGGAGACUCCCAGCUUCAUAUUGAUUAACAAGAGGAGGAGACUCCCAGCUUCAUAUUGAUUAACAAGAGGAGGCUCCCAGCUCGAUAUUGAUUAACAAGAGGAGGAUCCCAGCUCGAUAUUGAUUAACAAGAGGAGCCUCCCAGCUUCAUAUUGAUAAACAAGAGGAGGAUCCCAGCUCGAUAUUGAUUAACAAGAGGAGGAUCCCAGCUCGAUAUUGAUUAACAAGAGGAGCCUCCCAGCUUCAUAUUGAUAAACAAGAGGAGGAUCCCAGCUCGAUAUUGAUUAACAAGAGGAGCCUCCUAGCUUCAUAUUGAUUAACAAGAGGAGGAGCCUCCCAGAUUCAUAUUGAUUAACAAGAGGAGGAGACUCCCAGCUUCAUAUUGAUUAACAAGAAGAGAAGCCUCCCAGCUUCAUAUUGAUUAACAAGAAGGGAAGCCUCCCUGCCUCAUAGCUAUAUUGUAAACUAUGUUUCACAGGGGCUAGUUCGUUACAGUAUGUUCAAUAAUACUGUAGCUUUUCAGCUGUGAGACGAUUGGCUUGCACUGUUGCCUCUUUCAAUUAGGCUCUAACAUAAGUUAACGUAGCCGUUAGAAACCGGUUAAUGAGGGUCGAAUCGUCGGCAGGAAAAUUGACCAACAUUUGCAUCCCUAGUUAAAGGUCAGGGGUUAGAUUAAGUAUUUAGAGGUCAGGGGUUAAAGGUUACCAGUAGUAUGCUAUUCUCAUCAUCAUCAUCAUCAUCUGGCUGGUCAGACACCAGGACAGGGUGAGAGGUCAGAGGUUACGUCUAGUAUGCUGACAUCAUCAUCAUCGUCAGGUUUGUCAGAAACCAGGACAGGGUGAGAGGUCAGGGGUUAAAGGUUACCUCUAGUAUGCUGACAUCAUCAUUGUCAGGUUUGUCAGAAACCAGGACAGGGUGAGAGGUCAGGGGUUUAAAGGUUACCUCUAGUAUGCUGACAUCAUCAUCAUCGUCAGGUUUGUCAGAAACCAGGACAGGACUGUUGGGGUCCAGAGGAACCGGCUCCUCGUCAGAGUCAUCUGAUAUGGUGAUGAAGUUCCUCCUGCGUGCCCGACGACCUACACACACACACACACACACACACACACACACACACACACACACACUUAUCUGUAGCACGUGUAUGCUCUUGCCUUGGCUUCAGAACCCCCCCCCCCCCCCCCCCACCUGC